GCCCGCCAGACGAUGUCUGUGGACACAAAGCGCCGCAGUUUUUGGACAGAAAACAGCUAGAACAGCGAAAAUCGAUUACGUUCCCCGUACCGGUAUCUGCAGGCUGUUUCCCUGAACUGAGAGUGUAUUAUAACUGAACUGGACCAACACACCAAAACUAAUACUUUCCCGUGGCACACGAUUGGCUCAUACUGAAGACACAUUUUUAAUGCACAUAUGGUGCACUGUCUUACUUUAGUAACACAAUAUAGAAGACCGAAGACCAUAAACAACUUCUCUCCUCUUGCACAGUAGCAAGCAGGUCCAGUGAGAAGAGAACCUGCUGGAAAACUAAGAUUCAAUUCUGUCUGGACAUCAUUGCUGUGUGAAGACUGGUGAAGAGAAUAAGUUCCAAAACUCAGGACACUCAGCUUGAAACUGGUACAAUCCUGGUCCAACAGGGACAAUCCAAACUGGAACAUCUGGUCAACAUAUGAAAACAGCUACCUGCUACGACUGAAAAUGAUGCUGAUGAGAGUGGUGAGAGCAAAUCAAAACAGCAACAUUGCUAGCUGUGAAAGCAAAACACUUCCUGUAGAGUUGAGGGAAACUGCAAGGUGAUUAUUCUGUGAGUUUGUCACUACAAGUGACUCCUUUCACUUUACAUACAGUCAUUUGGUCCAUAU